UAAAGAGCAAAACUGCUGAAAAGCAGUGACGCAAAGCGAAGAGCCUAAGGUGCUUUUGCACUAUGGUCGUCUGGUUGC
rnacentral:ncRNA from 1 species